UGGCCAGACUCCUACGGGAGGCAGCAGUGAGGAAUAUUGGUCAAUGGGCGAGAGCCUGAACCAGCCAAGUCGCGUGAGGGACGACGGCCCUACGGGUUGUAAACCUCUUUUGCCGGGGGAUAAACGGCGGCACGCGUGCCGUCCUGAGGGUACCCGGAGAAAAAGCAUCGGCUAACUCCGUGCCAGCAGCCGCGGUAAUACGGAGGAUGCGAGCGUUAAUCGGAAUUACUGGGCGUAAAGCGCUCGUAGGCGGUAUGUCAAGUCAAGGGUGAAAUCCCCGCGCUCAACGUGGGAACUGCCUUUGAAACUGGCAAACUGGAGUGUGUGAGAGGAUAGUGGAAUUCCAGGUGUAGGAGUGAAAUCCGUAGAUAUCUGGAGGAACAUCAGUGGCGAAGGCGACUAUCUGGCACAUAACUGACGCUGAGGAGCGAAAGCGUGGGUAGCAAACAGGAUUAGAUACCCCCGUAAG
rnacentral:rRNA from 1 species